AGAAAGGCAGAUCCCUGACUUUUGUUCUUUUCAAAACAAGAAUUAAGAUACAUGUGUUGGAAGAAUAUUACUGAAGUCACCCAAAGUAAAAUGAAUGGAUAUGUUCCCAUUCCUGUGGAAAAUUUUGGAGGUUUCAAAAUCAUUGUCAUGCACUCUCUGGAAUCUGAAUUAAUGACUCAAGGCUUCUUUGCUCAGAUAUAUCUGCCAUGGUGGACUUAGGCUGUGAAACUUCUCAUGCUGGUAUUUACAAGUGUGAUGUGACUUUU